GAUGAAGAACGCAGCGAAAUGCGAUAAGUAAUGUGAAUUGCAGAAUUCAGUGAAUCAUCGAAUCUUUGAACGCACAUUGCGCCCCUUGGUAUUCCGGGGGGCAUGCCUGUUCGAGCGUCAUUAUAACCCCUCAAGCUCAGCUUGGUGUUGGGGCCUGCUGCACUGGCAGCCCUUAAAAUCAGUGGCGGCGCCAUCUGGCUCUAAGCGUAGUAAUUCUUCUCGCUAUGGAGUCCUGGUGGAUGCUUGCCAUCAACCCCCAAUUUUUCUAUGGUUGACCUCGGAUCAGGUAGGGAUACCCGCUGAACUUAAGCAUAUCAAUAAGCGGAGGA
rnacentral:misc_RNA from 1 species